GACGUCGAAUAUCGACGUCAUAAACACCAAAGUUGAUCGUGUUUAUGACGUCGAAUAUCGACGUCACAAACACCAAAGUUGAUCGUGUUUAUGACGUCGAAUAUCGACGUCAUAAACACCAAAGUUGUUCGUGUUUAUGACGUCGAAUAUCGACGUC
rnacentral:miRNA from 1 species